CGGACGGGUGAGUAAUGUCUGGGAAACUGCCUGAUGGAGGGGGAUAACUACUGGAAACGGUAGCAAUACCGCAUAACGUCGCAAGACCAAAGAGGGGGACCUUCGGGCCUCUUGCCAUCGGAUGUGCCCAGAUGGGAUUAGCUAGUAGGUGGGGUAACGGCUCACCUAGGCGACGAUCCCUAGCUGGUCUGAGAGGAUGACCAGCCACACUGGAACUGAGACACGGUCCAG
rnacentral:rRNA from 1 species